UAAAAACGCGUUUUAAACGACACUGCGAAUUAAUUCAACGAUAAGUUUCUGAUCGACGAUGUAAUUUUCAUAAUAAUUUCUUUCUUUGCGUAUCGUAACUCGACAGAGCCAAAUUUUGGCCUUUGGCGUAGCGCUUAACCCACUUCGAAGCUUAAGCGUGGAAGUUUCCCCCUCCUCUCUUCUUCUUUCUCCUAGUACACUUUUAUAUCGCCAACCUAACCUCACCUCCGAGCCAUCUCCCGUGAAAAACAAAACCUCUCUAACCCCCACCCCGGGAUAUAAAGCGACGAAUUUUUACUGAUAUCAAUGCCCUCUCUGUCUCGCCGCUCUCGAGCGUCUCUACGAUAAAAUUCUGUCACGACGAAACGGGGAAAUAAUCAAUUCAUAGCUCACCGUACCGCGCAAGAUGUACGCUCGCGAGGAGAGAAUCGGCGAGGAAAGUAGAGAAAUUCGAGCUUUGAAAGGAUGGAGAAGAAAAAUACGAGUAAAAAAGAGAAAGAGAGAGAGAGAGAGAUAAAGAGAGAGAAUCUCGGUGGUCCCGAGCUUUACUAAUUUAAUCGUCAUGAUGGAUACGAGCGAAGUGAAAUCGGCAACGACCACUCCUCGAAAGAGAGAAAGAG